GUCAGAGUUCAGCCGUUCUCGCACAAAUGGGAAAACGGAGUGCUCUCUACUCCCGUCCCACCCACGCCAAAAAAAAAGGGCCAGACUUGCCCAAGGUCUCCUAAGGAGUGGAGACCAGAGGCGGGGCCUGCUGCUCCCUGCCCAGCCCGCUCUCCCACCGCUAGCGUUCCCUCCCCGUUCCAGGCCAGGUCGUGGGAGGCGGAGGUUGGGGAGGAGGCAGCAUCCUGCCCGGGUGCGUCAGGAAGGGCCGAGCGGGAAGGAAGGCACCACCCCCACCCCCGCCGCGGCCACACCUGGGCUCUCCAGGCGGGCAUGGGGGCCCAGGCCGGCGCCUGGCUCCAGCGAGUCUGGGCCGCCUCCCCGUGGGGGCCGCCAGAUGGGCCGGCCGCCCGCCCGCCCAGCUACGCGGGCAGGAAACAGCCGCCAAGGCUGCCAGGAAGGCGGGCGCGAGCGGUGGGGCGGGGCCCACAGUGGGCCCGCCCCCCGAGGGGAGGGCCGGGAAGGCCGAGACCUUGUGAGCCUGGGAAUCCCGGCUCUGCCGCCUGCCAUGUUUCCUUAGGCAAGUCUGUUUCCGUCUCCGUGCCCCAGCUUCCCCAAUAGUAAAGUGUCAUCUCCUGUAAUACCCAGACAGCCUCCAACCUCUUUGUCAUUUUAAGGCAGACCAGACUAUGGAAAUGAUGUUAGACAAAAAGCAAAUCUGAGCAAUUUUCUUACUUGAAUACAAAAUGGGUCGUAAAGCAGCAGAGACAAUUGGCAACAUCAACAACACAUCUGGCCCAGGAAUGCACAGUGCAAUGGUGAUUCAAGAAGUUUUGCAAAGGAGAUGAGAGGCUUGAAGAUGAGGAGUGCAGUGGCUGGCCAUCGGAAGGUGACAACAACCAAUUGAGAGCAGUCACUGAGGCUGAUCCUCUUACAACUACACCAAAAGUUGCCAAAGAACUCAGUGUCAGCUAUUCUACAGUUGUUCGGCAUUUAAAGUAAAUUGGAAAGGUGAAAAGGCUUGGUAAGUGGGUGCCUCAUGAGCUGACUGCAAAUCAAAAAUAUCGUCAUGUUGAAGUGUCAUCUUUUCUUAUUCUAUGCAACAACAACCAACCAUUUCUCAAUUGGGAUUGUGACCUGCAAUGAAAAGUGAACUGCAUACAACAACCAGCAAUGACCAGCUCAGUGGUUGGAGUGAGAAGAAGCUCCAAAGCACUUACCAAAGCCAAACUUGCGCCAAAAAAAGGUCAUGGUCACUGUUUGGUGGCCUGCUGCUGGUCUGAUCCACUGCAGCUUUCUGAAUCCUGGUGAAACCAUUAUAUCUGAGAAGUAUGCUCAGCAAAUCAGUGAAAUCACCAAAAACUGCAGCCGGUAUCAGUCAACAGAAAGGGCCUGACGAAAGGUCGCACAACCAAAAGUUGAAGGAAUCGGGCUACGAUGUUUCGCCUCAUCCGCCAUAUUCACCUGACCUCGGCCAACCAACUACUACUUCUUCAAUCAUCUUGACAACUUUUUGCAGGAAAAACACUUCCACAACCAGCAGGAUACAGAAAAUGCUUUCCAAGAGUUCGUUGAUUUCUGAAGCAUUGAUUUUUAUGCUACAGGAGUAAGCAAACUUAUUUCUAGUUGGCAAAAAUGUGUUGAUUGUAAAGGUUCCUGUUUUGAUUAAUAAAGAUGUGUUUGAGCCUAGUUAUAAUGACUUAAAA
ensembl:lncRNA